UGGGGACUCGUCUAAUGGUAGGACAGCAGAUUCUGGAUCUGUAUGUGAGGGUUCGACUCCUUCGUCCCCAGCCA
rnacentral:tRNA from 1 species